AGCGAACGCUGGCGGCAGGCUUAACACAUGCAAGUCGAACGCCCCGCAAGGGGAGUGGCAGACGGGUGAGUAACACGUGGGAACGUACCCUUUGGUUCGGAAUAACUUGGGGAAACUCAAGCUAAUACCGGAUAAGCCCUUAUGGGGAAAGGUUUACUGCCGAAGGAUCGGCCCGCGUCUGAUUAGCUAGUUGGUGAGGUAAUGGCUCACCAAGGCGACGAUCAGUAGCUGGUCUGAGAGGAUGAUCAGCCACACUGGGACUGAGACACGGCCCAGACUCCUACGGGAGGCAGCAGUGGGGAAUAUUGGACAAUGGGGGCAACCCUGAUCCAGCCAUGCCGCGUGAGUGAUGAAGGCCUUAGGGUUGUAAAGCUCUUUUACCAGGGAUGAUAAUGACAGUACCUGGAGAAUAAGCUCCGGCUAACUCCGUGCCAGCCGCCGCAGUAACAC
rnacentral:rRNA from 1 species